AUGCUGGGUUCAGCCGUCGUCCGGCUCGCCACCCCGCCUCGCGCCGCCGCCUCCGCUGCUGCCGGAAACAUCUCUCUCGUGGAUGGCAGCCUCCGCGCUGUGCUGCACCCGGGGGCGGACGACGCAGAUUCAGCGGCGGCGGGGUGCUCGCACAAGUGGCGGAUGGUGAUCGCCUACGACGGUACCAAGUUCAAAGGUUGGCAGUAUCAACCAUCACCUCCAACUAUACAAUGCUUUCUAGAGAAAGCACUGAUACGCAUCACGAAACUGGACCGGAAGGAGCUUUGUUUGGUUGGUGCAGGAAGGACAGAUACAGGUGUUCAUGCACGGGGUCAGGUGGCACAUUUCACCACGCCGUUUGCCUACCAUUGUCUCGACAGCUUUCAUUCUGCAAUCAAUGGGCUUCUACCUCCUGAUAUCCGAGUUAGAGAAAUUAGCGCAGCUUGUCCAGAAUUCCAUGCUCGCACAUCCACAAAGAGCAAAAUAUAUCAUUACAAGAUCUAUAACGAAGCAGUUAUGGACCCCUUCCAUACUAAUUAUGCUUACCACAGUGCACAUAAACUUAAUCCACAUGCUAUGCAGGAGGCUGCAAAUCAUUUUGUUGGAGUACAUGACUUCUCAUCUUUCGCCAAUGCAGUACAUAAUGAUCGUGUGCGCAGUCCAAUAAAGAAGAUAUCACGCUUUGAUGUUACUAAAAUGGAUGCUAUCAUACAACUCGAGGUUGAAGGCACUGGCUUUUUGUACAGACAAGUGAGGAACAUGGUAGCUUUGCUAAUUCAAGUUGGAAGGGAGGGACUGCCUCCUGAAAUCGUCCCGAGAAUCAUUGCGGCAAAGGACCGCAAAGAGCUUGCGAAGGUGGCCUUGUCAGCACCACCACAUGGAUUGUAUCUCAUGUCAGUUAACUAUGACAAAGAAAUCUUGAAGCCUCCUGUGGGUUCCCCUCCGGUGAGCUUUGGAAGGACUCAUCAGAUCAGUAGAUGCAAACUUCUGUUUUACUAG
rnacentral:rRNA from 1 species